CCCUUAGAUGUCCUGGGCCGCACGCGCGUUACACUGAUGCAUUCAACGAGCUUAUAACCUUGGCCGAGAGGCCUGGCCAAUCUUGUUAACGUGCAUCGUGAUAGGGAUAGAUUAUUGAAAUUAUUAAUCUUGAACGAGGAAUUCCUAGUAAACGCAGAUCAUCAAUCUGCAUUGAUUACGUCCCUGCCCUUUGUACACACCGCCCGUCGCACCUACCGAUUGGAUGGUCCGGUGAAGCCUCGGGAUUGUGGUUCUUGCCGCUUUAUUGUGGCGUGACCGCGAGAACUUGUCUAAACCUUAUCAUCUAGAGGAAGGUGAAGUCGUAACA
rnacentral:rRNA from 1 species